UACCAGCACCCCGAGUGGUCGGGACGUUUAUUGGGCCUAAAGCAUCCGUAGCCGGUUCUACAAGUCUUCCGUUAAAUCCACCUGCUCAACAGAUGGGCUGCGGAAGAUACUACGGAGCUAGGAGGCGGGAGAGGCAAGCGGUACUCGAUGGGUAGGGGUAAAAUCCGUUGAUCCAUUGAAGACCACCAGUGGCGAAGGCGGCUUGCCAGAACGCGCUCGACGGUGAGGGAUGAAAGCUGGGGGAGCAAACCGG
rnacentral:rRNA from 1 species